AUCUAAGUAUAUACUUGAAAACGGUGAAACCGCGAAUGGCUCACUAAAUCAGAUAUGGUUUCUUAGAUCGUAAAUGCUACAUGGAUAACUGUAGAAAUUCUAGAGCUAAUACACGUCUUGAAUCCCUGUUCCUCAAGGGGACAGGUGCAUUUAUUAGAACAGAACCAGUCGGGUGCGGCUUCGGCUGUGCCUGUUACAUUCUGUGAUGACUCUAAACAUAUAGAUGUUUUGAUAACCAACAUCUAUGUCACCCUUCUUCAAUCACGAAAAUUUCCUACUUGUUCAAG
rnacentral:ncRNA from 1 species